GGGGGCGUACUGGCUUCGACUCAUCGUUGGAAGCGCAGACGGCAUGUCGAGGAUGGUUCGUUGGCCUCGUUAAAAACCGGACCAAACAAAUAAACGCAGACAACGAAGGUCUCGCUCUCGCGGCUUAAUUGACCGCGACGUUUUCGCAGUGACGCCUGCUAGCGGCGAAAACGUGGACAGCAGGCUGGCGAAUCGGCGGAGCGACCGUGCCGGUUCGUGAAUCGAUUUCGUGGACGCUCGGGAGCCGGCAAUGUGCCGGCGCAUGGCUUGGCUCCUCAGAAACGCUCGUGUCCGCGAACGCCACCAUGG
rnacentral:tmRNA from 1 species